rfam:Gossypium raimondii Chr12_contig_134, whole genome shotgun sequence.
GGCCUAUUAGCUCAGUUGGUUCGUGCUAAUAACGCGAAGGUCGCAGGUUCGAGACCUGCAUGGGCCA